UACGGAGGGUGCAAGCGUUAUCCGGAUUUACUGGGUUUAAAGGGUGCGUAGGCGGGCCAUUAAGUCAGUUGUGAAAGCUCCGAGCUUAACUCGGAAACUGCCAUUGAUACUAUUGGUCUUGAAUUCGGUCGAGGUUGGCGGAAUGUGUCGUGUAGCGGUGAAAUGCUUAGAUAUGACACAGAACACCGAUUGCGAAGGCAGCUAGCUAGACCGACAUUGACGCUGAGGCACGAAAGCGUGGGGAUCAAACAGG
rnacentral:rRNA from 1 species